UUUUAUCUGUCACUACAUUUUCAGUAAAGUCGGGCAGCGAGCCUUAACGGAGCGAAGGCUGUUAUCACCUCUCCUUAGCCCUUUAAGUGCAGCAGGCUCUUUGGUGUCUCUCGCUGGAUGCCGCUUUGUUAAUUGCGACGGGAAACAGGACCAGGCGCUGAGCAUCGCUCUGCCCGGGCGGCACUCGCCACAGAACCGCCGGCUUUGGGAGAGGAGCCCCAGCCCAGGAGUCACACACGCGGAAGAGGCAAUGUGAAAUCAGUGCAUCUUUCUGAGGGCUAUUUAUGUUGCAGAGGAGCUGAGAGGGGAAGUCUCUCACUGCAAGCCAGUACCACAGCUUCAGGGGGAUUUGAGCCACACGAGCCCAGGAUGCCGGUGAGAGGCACUGCAGCUCUCCCUGAUUCUCCAGCGAGGCCCACCCGCCGUCCCCGUGUCUGGUCCAGCAUCACACGCGUUCACAAGGCUGCUCUGGAAAUCUCCUUUUAUUUCUUUGGUAGACUCUCAGCCAUUAUCUGCUCACACAUAAGAUUAAUUUGCUGCCUUUGAGGUGUGCAGGCAGUAGGAAGUAGCAAUAGUAGAAUUAAACAGUCUGGAGAGCAUGGCUGUUCCCCAAGCAAGGUUUUCCUUGUGUUUUGGACUGCAUCUGUGUCUAUGGGUUUCUGGAGCACUUUGGCACUUAUCAGCUGAAACACUUCCUGAUGGUCAUCUUAUAAAAGGAGCAACUGGGGCUGGUGUUGGAUUUUACUUUACCAUGCUACUCAGAAGCUAAUGACAUGACCAGGGAGGGAGAAAAAAAAUAAACUGCUAUGGACGUUUUGUGGAAGUUUCUUGAAUGUUGUAUAAUUUUCUUUAAUGAGCAGUGGAGGGGUUUUUUGCAGAUUUUUACUGAUAUGUACAGAUUCCAUUAAAAUAUGAAGUCUCUCAAACUCCAAGUCAGAAUGGUUCAUAGUCACUUACUGAUAUUUCAAAGUUCUUUGCUAAAAUUUUGUACUUUGAACCUCCAAAAGAAAGAACCAUGCAAAUAAAAGUUUUAAAAAAACCCCAGCAACAAAGCCCAAAGUGAAAACCUGGAUAUAACUUUUGUUUUCAACAUUACUAUUUGUAGCUCUUUGGACUAUCUUGGCAUUUCAGUAUAGUUUUCCCAUAUUUCAGAUGUCACCAUGAAUAAAGAGUUAAGCAGAGAUCAUCUCAACCUCUACUUCAUUAUACAACUGUUUAAAUCCAGCUGACACCCUGAAUCUCAAAACCAAAUAAAGUAGAUCUGGAAAAUAUUCAGAGAGCGGGGACAGGAUUGCAUCAGAGCAAAGAAAGGCUUGGUUUGAAAAAAAACCAAAACAUUUUGGAAGAGAUAUAGAAUGGGGGAGGCAGAACAUGAAAGACACCAAUAAACUUGAGACUAGCAUGGAGACGUUAAAAAGACAUUAAUUGUUUGUUAUUUCUCUAAAUAUUGCAACUAAGGAUCAUCAAAGCAAACAGAGAAAAGGUUCUUAGCGCAGAUUGAUAGAUCAUGUGAGAGCUCUUUACCCAAGUCUGUAACAAA